CGCGAAUCGCCCUUCGGGGUGCAGCAGGCGCGAAAACUUUACAAUGCCGGCAACGGCGAUAAGGGGACCUCGAGUGCCAGGUUACAAAUCUGGCUGUCGUGAUGCCUAAAAAGCAUUGCAUAGCAAGGGCCGGGCAAGACCGGUGCCAGCCGCCGCGGUAACACCGGCGGCUCGAGUGGUAACCGUUAUUAUUGGGUCUAAAGGGUCUGUAGCCGGCCGGAUAAGUCUCUUGGGAAAUCCAGCAGCUCAACUGUUGGGCUUUCAGGAGAUACUGUCUGGCUCGAGGCCGGGAGAGGUGAGAGGUACUUCAGGGGUAGGGGUGAAAUCUUGUAAUCCUUGAAGGACCACCAGUGGCGAAGGCGUCUCACCAGAACGGACCUGACGGCAAGGGACGAAAGCUAGGGGCACGAACCGGAUUAGAUACCCGGGUAGUCCUAGCCGUAAACGAUACUCGCUAGGUGUCGGCCACGGUGCGACCGUGGUCGGUGCCGUAGGGAAGCCGUGAAGCGAGCCACCUGGGAAGUACGGCCGCAAGGCUGAAACUUAAAGGAAUUGGCGGGGGAGCAC
rnacentral:rRNA from 1 species